UGGGGUGUAGCUCAUUGGUGGAGCACUUGCCUAGUAUGUAUGAGGCACUGGGUUCAAUUCUCAGCAUCACAU
rfam:Ictidomys tridecemlineatus contig113853, whole genome shotgun sequence.